rnacentral:rRNA from 1 species
AUACGAAGGGUGCAAGCGUUAAUCGGAAUUACUGGGCGUAAAGCGCGCGUAGGUGGUUCGUUAAGUUGGAUGUGAAAGCCCCGGGCUCAACCUGGGAACUGCAUCCAAAACUGGCGAGCUAGAGUAUGGCAGAGGGUGGUGGAAUUUCCUGUGUAGCGGUGAAAUGCGUAGAUAUAGGAAGGAACACCAGUGGCGAAGGCGACCACCUGGGCUAAACGUGCCACUGAGGUGCGAAAGCGUGGGGAGCAAACAGGAUUAGAUCCCCUGGUAGUCCACGCCGUAAACGAUGUCGACUAGCCGUUGGGAUCCUUGAGAUCUUAGUGGCGCAGCUAACGCAUUAAGUCGACCGCCUGGGGAGUACGGCCGCAAGGUUAAACUCAAAGGAAUUGACGGGG